rnacentral:rRNA from 1 species
GCUUAGAGAGGGGUCAAUGUCCUAUCAGCUAGUUGGUAGGGUAAUGGCCUACCAAGGCUAAGACGGGUAGCCGGCCUGAGAGGGUGGUCGGCCACACUGGGACUGAGACACUGCCCAGACUCCUACGGGAGGCUGCAGUCGAGAAUCUUUCGCAAUGCCCGAAAGGGUGACGAAGCGACGCCGCGUGUGGGAAGAAGGCCUUCGGGUUGUAAACCACUGUCGGGAGUUAAGAAAUGCAAGGGUGUUAAUAGCAUCCUUGCUUGACUAAGGCUCCGGAGGAAGCCACGGCUAACUCUGUGCCAGCAGCCGCGGUAAUACAGAGGCGGCAAGCGUUGUUCGGAAUUAUUGGGCGUAAAGAGCACGUAGGCGGCUUUGUAAGUCAGUUGUGAAAGCCUUCUGCUCAACGGAAGAACAGCAUCUGAUACUGCAAGGCUAGAGUGCGGAAGGG